rnacentral:rRNA from 1 species
AGUCAACCUACCCUAUGGACGGGAAUAAUCUCGGGAAACUGAGGAUAAUUCCAGAUAGAACACUAUGCCUGGAACGGUUUGUGUUCCAAAUGAUUUAUCGCCGUAGGAUGGGACUGCGUCCUAUCAGUUUGUUGGUGAGGUAAUGGCCCACCAAGACUAUUACAGGUACGGGCUCUGAGAGGAGUAGCCCGGAGAUGGGUACUGAGACACGGACCCAGGCCCUAUGGGGCGCAGCAGGCGAGAAAACUUUGCAAUGUGCGAAAGCACGACAAGGUUAAUCCGAGUGGUUCCUGCUAAAGGAACCUUUUGACGGUCCUAAAAACACCGUUGAAUAAGGGGUGGGCAAGUUCUGGUGUCAGCCGCCGCGGUAAAACCAGCACCUCAAGUGGUCAGGAUGAUUAUUGGGCUUAAAGCAUCCGUAGCCGGCUCUGUGAGUUUUCGGUUAAAUCUGUGCGCUCAACGUACAGGCUGCCGGGAAUACUGCAGAGCUAGGGAGUGGGAGAGGUAGACGGUACUUGGUAGGAAGGGGUAAAAUCCUUUGAUCUAUUGAUGACCACCUGUGGCGAAGGCGGUCUACCAGAACACGUCCGACGGUGAGGGAUGAAAGCUGGGGGAGCAAACCGGAUUAGAUACCCGGGUAGUCCCAGCUGUAAACCAUGCAAACUCAAUGAUGCAUUGGCUUGAAGCCAAUGCAGUGUU